rnacentral:rRNA from 1 species
UACGUAGGGCGCAAGCGUUGUCCGGAAUUAUUGGGCGUAAAGAGCUCGUAGGCGGCUUGUCACGUCGGAUGUGAAAGCCCGGGGCUUAACCCCGGGUCUGCAUUCGAUACGGGCUAGCUAGAGUGUGGUAGGGGAGAUCGGAAUUCCUGGUGUAGCGGUGAAAUGCGCAGAUAUCAGGAGGAACACCGGUGGCGAAGGCGGAUCUCUGGGCCGAUACUGACGCUGAGGAGCGAAAGCGUGGGGAGCGAACAGG